GCUAUUAUCAAAGUCUUUACCUCACACUACUAGUACUGAACAUGUCUUGAAACAAUAGGUUCUGUGUUCUGCAUGCAUGAUAAAUUUUAUCCUUGCCUCUGCAUUUUUUUUGCUUGUGUGUUCCUAAGACACACCAUGAUCAACAGAGAUUUUUGGUUUAAUAUGUUUACAAGGCACAUGGUUCACUGUACUCUUUAAGUUCAUCAGUUUACUGCCAAAUAAACUUUAUUUUAAUAUGCAGAUUAUUUUAUUUACUGUCUAGCUUCUUGAAUUAAGCACAUGGCCUGCAACCUUUUAAAGUGGUAAAUGUGCACUACCAUUCCCUGCUUUACCAUUUCUAUCAUUUCUCUCUUGUGAUCAAUGGAAUAGCCUUUUCUAAAGAGCUUUGGUAACAUAGCUUAUGUAGUAUGUGCAAUCCUGUAAGUCACCAAGCAUAAAAUGGUAGUGUCUGAGAUGCUCAGGUUCCUUUCCCUUUGAAGUCAAUGAGAGCCCAUGUUUGAGGUCAAUAUUUGACCCUUACAAUUUACAUUAAAACAAAUUGAGAAAAACAAUGUAAACUGUAUUUUUGCUAUAUGGGUGAGUCUUUCUUAAAGAAUGCAAGAAGAAUAACUCCUUACCUCAUCAUGGCUAGCCAGUUUUUCAGUAACUGACCAGGCUUAUCCUGCUAUUCCCACCCUCUGCAACCUGGGAACCACUUUUCUUUCUUAGCAUGCAUGAAUCACUUACCUGUCUCCCAUCGCAUCUUAUCUAAUGCCAAGUAGCAGCAGGAGGAGGCAGCUCACAACAGUGGUAAUAGAUAGGCAGAACCCAAAGUGAAUCCCUGCUAAUGAAGCUGGCCAACUCAGAGGUGAGGAAGAUGCAAUAGAACAGGUUCUUCACCAGCCUGGGUAAGUGUGUGCCUCCUUUGGAAUGUUGUAGAGUCCACUGAAGAUACUGCAGUGGGGAGGUUUGUAGACGUUGAUCAGAAUCAGAUCCUUCACUUUUAUAGGCUGAAAUUCAGUAACAUCAUUUGGACCUUGUCAAGGGGGUUCACUCAUCACAGAUUGCACCUCCUUCUGGCUGUACUGGGAAUUAGUUCUGCCAGGUGCUGUGCCCUCCUCUGACGGUGUCUCUCCCAUCAUCCUCUCAUCCUUCAGCCCCUCUUGCACCAGUAACUGCAGCCUCUUCUUCGUGAUUCAGCCCUCUGGGCAGGUCACUCCAUGGUUCCCCCUUCUGGGGAAGGGUGUGUGUAACAGUCUUUCCCAGAACAAAUCAUCCCAGGCACUCCAAUGUCCUCUGCCUGGUAGAUGCCAUGUCCCCAGUGGCUGGUAGGGGAACUCUGACCCGCCCUGUACUCUGGGUUCCAGCUCCGGGACCCUCCUGUUAACAGCCAAGGCCUGCACUCCUUUUUGCUGCUAUUCCCCUGAGCCUCCUCCUACCUUCCUGAUUUCCCCCCCCCCCCUUUUGGAUUUGCCAGCCUCCCAACUCCCUCCUCCCAUGGAGCAACACUCUAUAGUUCUAACAUUCCUUUCUCUUCCCAGGGAGCAACUGCAGCCUACAGCCCUUCUGUUGCCAGCUUCCUGGCUUCCAUAGUCCCCACCUGUCCCUGCCCAGUUGAGCCUUGUGUCUAAUGAAUCAUUCCUUGCUCCUUCGCUCCUCCUGCAGGUGCAACUGGGCAAUUAAUUGGGCCUAAUUUACCCUCUCAGGGCCAGUGGGGGGAGUACACCCCAUCACAGACCUAAUGAUUAGACUAGAGUUGCUGGAAUACCCUCUCUGCCUUAGGAUGACAGCCUGUAUUGCCUGUGAUGGAGGUGAGACACAACAACACAGCUUGGAGUUGAUAGUUAAGCAUCAGUGAUAGAAUGUGUGUCCUGAAGUAAAAUGAUGUAUUCUUCAUGUUCUACAGUGAACUGGAGGAGGAUGUCCCUCUUGGCUGCUGAGAUUCCCUCAAUAUUGAAGUGCACCAUCUUGAGAGCUGACCUCAACACAAGAUUGUCAAGACGUUGGGGCUUAUGGAGGACGACAACAAGUUGCUCAAGAAAAGGAAAAUAAACUUCUGGCUGUAGCCUAAGUAAAUGGGUUCUGCUCGUGGGAACUAUGCAAGAGUUUGGGGGAUGAAAUCCUUCAACUUGGGGACAGGCUGAGAAACUGCAGUGCAACCCCUCUGCUACCAUUACUGCAGCUUCAUCACAGCAGUGGUGUCUGAGGCCCUUUGAUAAGCCCUGUGUUUGGCUUCAAGUCAGUAGAUCUGCAUGUUAUGGAGCCACUGUAUAAAACUAUCUUCUAAAUAGCUUAGGCUUGCUGUGGAUCGGACUGUUGAGCUGUACUCACGCAGAAGAUAUGUUGUCCUCCUGCAGAGCUUCUCUGUGUUUUUCCCUUCUAUUGUAGUAGAACUGAAUUGGUUCUGUUGAGAGUGGGGCAUCUGUCACUCCUUACAUCGUGUCCUGGAGGAUUUGCCCUUUCAAUCACAUGGUCCAAAGUCAACUGAAGUCACCAGAAAGAUUCACAUUGAGUUCAGUGGUUUUUGGAUCAGGCCCUGAUAAACAAUAAAGUAGGAAAGAAAGAAAAAGAAAUCCCUUCUGGAAAGCAGCUUGAUACAGGAUUUAAUUUUCAAUAUGAAUUAAAUGGUGGCAAGGACAAGUGAAAACAUGCAAAAAGUUGCUUCAUUGAAAAAAUGAUCAGGUGUUUAGCACCUUGACUAUCAAAGACUUUUUGUGAUCAGAAGCAAAUAGAAGGGUGAAUUCUCUUGAGAGUGAAUUGAAGAAAUUGUGAGAAAACUAAAAGCAACAAAGCUAUUGAAGCAGCAUGUGCUGCUGUAUACGGUGUAUAUUUCUGGCACUAUAGCAAUAAAAUAAUAACCAAGGAGGAGCUGUCUCCCAUUUGCAAGAAAUAUAUAGGCAAUGUUCUAAAGAGACUUCUGUGUGCAAUAAAAGCUAAUGCCUGAUGGCACACAAUAUAUUGAAUAGAAAGACUGAAACUAAAUCCCAGUAUCUUUAUUUUAUUUUCCAGCAUGCCCCUGUAUAUGUCUGUGGAUUUACUAAAGUCGGGUGUCUUAUUUCAUGAAUUCUUUGCAAGCCUAAUGAAAUUAGUAAGUAAAUGAAGCUCAUGUGUUUUAAUUCCUAACUCAUAGUACAAAUAAAUAUUAUGAUAACAAGGUGCGUGUGUUGUGGGCAGUGCAUAGUACAGACUGGGGCCUCUAGGCUCUGCUACAGUACAAAUAAUAAUAGCAUAGCAGUAAGAAGGCACCCCAGCAAAAUUUCAUUUUCAGCCCGCUUCAUAUAGAGACCCAGUUUUGUGCCCCCCGAGAGUGUGAUCUAAUGCUGAGAGCACAGCAGUUUUGGCUAGGAGACCUGGGCAUCAAUCCACUAGUAGGGGCUGCUCUGUGCACCUCCACAGCUAAGUGAUCCGUGGCUGCAGCUGAGGAUCUGAGCAUGAACACAUCUGUUACUGGCUUUAUCUUGGGGUCAGUAAUCAGUGUUUUACUUCCCAUGAGUAUUGAAUGUCAAGCUUUUUAAGAUCCUAGGAUGAAAAGACCUAUGGGUGAUUAGGUUCAGUUGUCAAUAAGUCGGGGGAUGCAGGUGUGCCACCCCAGGAGCAAGGAGUUGUGGCUUGGUGAGUCACAAUUUCUUUUCUGCUUGUCUCCUGCUCCAAGGGGGAAGAAAUUUACUGCAGCCACAAAUGGUACAUCUUACUUCCCUUUCUUGCUUCCAGCCAGCUCUGUUGGAUGGUGCAUUGGAGAGGGAAUGGAUGUAAUCCCUCACUGCUCCACAGACCUUUUCUUUACCCAUUUGCUCAUGGUGAGGCAGCAGUAGCUGUUCUGAGGCUGUGCUCCCAACAGAACUUGUACCUGUAACAUGAGCAAUCAUAAUUGGGGAUGGCCAGAAAACAAGAACUCCAUUUGUUUUCUUUAUGCAUCAGAACAAGAGCAAGACCUUUUGAAAUUCAUUUUGUGAAAAAUGUGAGAGACCAGCCCAUCUGCCCCGGAAUAGCCAAUAUCAUGAUGGUCGGGGCAGGAGCGCUGCCAGCUUUUCUGCUGCCCUAGGCGGCGGAUGGUCCCACCCCAAAAAGCACCCCCCACAGAGGCAGCGGAAGGUCCCGCCGCCGAAAUACUGCGGUGGUUGCCACCCCCCAAAUUGUAGCGCCCUAGGUGACCAUCUAGGUCGCCUAAUGGGUUGCGCCGGCCCUGGGUUGGGGCACUCACUCAACUGCCGGAUUUGGAGAAGGGACUUGAACCUGGAUAUCUCACAUCCCAGAUGAAUGCCCUAACCACUUGAUUAUUCUUGAAUUGGGGAUCAAUUUUGACCAGAAAUUCCAUCCUGGACAUGAGAAACAUGAUUAAGCUUUCAUUGAAGCUGACCCGUCUCCUCAGAACAUUAUGAUUUUGAUGAAACAGCAUUUUUAACAGAAAUAGAUUGGGGGGGGGGGGCUUUAAUCUCCUACAUGGUCACGUUAAGUUUGUUCCAGACCUGUCCCUUUAGUAUUCUUCAGAGCCAGACAAGACAAAGAAUGUUGAAUAAUUAGUCUGAAAAAAUCACAACAUUCAUCAAAUAAAGUAAUUGUUAAUAGUACUUGUGCUGGUUGAAUAAUAUUUGACAAGAGACUCUACCUCUUUCCUCCUAGUUUGUUAAUGAACUGGUAAUACAUCAACCAAAGCCAUUUUUCCCUUACUGGGAAAGCUAUCAUAGGCUCAAGGACAAAUAUAAUGGGCUGGCUAGUAGGUUUUGGAGCCAGCUAUUUAGUUUUUUUGUUUAUAAACUAGCUUACAAGCUGAGAACCACCAGGCCAAAAUAUAGGAGACUUGUAUUUUAUUUGAAGGAGAAACUCUUUAAAAUAUCCAUGUCUUCCUUAAAAAUUCUUGUCUAGUCUGGGCUGUAUUUCUUACAGAGCCUAUUGACAUGGUUAUAUUGGGACUGACAAACAUACUAAAAGUUAACUUUUAAAGUGGUAUUUUGCCAUAAAAAAUAAAUGGACGUUUUAGUUAGAUUCUGCACUAUAUUUAUUUAUUCUUACUUGUCUCCUCCAAAGAAAGAACAAGAGAAGAACUAUUGUCACUCCUGGGUUUUCUCUUUUUCUGAUAAAUAUUUGCAGUAUUUUUUUUUCUUCCUCAUCUUUAUUCUCUGAAUAAUAGAAAAGGUCUGGUCUUCACAUCCCAGAGUCCCUUUUCCAGCUGGUUUGCUUCUUUCAGGGUUGAGGGUUUUUUGGUUGUUGUUUCAGAUUGAUUUACAAGUACUAGAGUGUUAAGACUGGAAUUCAAAACUGGUCCCAACAUUUAUGACAAACACAAAUCUCUGUACAUCUUUUCUCCAGUAUUUUCCCCAGUCUCUCAAUGCUAGAUAGCUAGAACAUGCCACUACUCUAUUUUAUUUAUAAUACGGUUACACAUUUGAGGAGGCUCCAACCUCUUGAGCAAGCUGAAAAACUGUAAUAAAAAGUGUUUUCUCAAUAGCCAAGGAGUUUCUAAGAUAUAAAUAUUUCCAAUAUGUUUAGGAAGAAUUGAUCAUAAUGGAUCUUGUAAAGAAAUAUUUCUUGUAAAUUUCAUGUGUAUAAAAGCAACAUGUAACUGUUGAAUCAUAAGGAGUCUAACAAAAAUAUAAUUACAUAUCUAAUGCAAGUUUCUCUAUUUGAA